CCAAAUUUCCCUUUACUUAAAGACAAAAGGAUAGUUUCCUCUUUGUUUUGACUGGAGGUAGAAAAUGGACGUGAUCACCUAGAAGAGGAAGACACGUCACAAGCCCACUAUAGAACUACUUUAGCUUAGAUCCUCUUGGAACCAGGGAUUUAUAAGCUAUGUAGGAGCUCCUGGACCACGGCUUUCCCCAACACCUGGAAAUUAUCAAGCUUGCUGCUUGCUGAAUGAUGCUAACAGCUCUAAUGCUGCAAAUUCAUUUUUAACAACUCACUGGCUUUUAUCUAGGACUUGUGUGUAUGUGUGUGUCUUUCUUUAAGAGAAAACUACUAAAGCAACUGAAAAUAUCAAAGACACAAAAAUCAAAUCUGACUUGAAUGUGUUACAUCUCUGAACCCAUUCCCAUUAUGCAUAUGUAGAUAGAUACAUUUCCCUGUUC
rnacentral:lncRNA from 1 species